UUUUUUUUAGCACAUCAUAUCGUGGUUAUUGUCCCCACUCCUUGGUGACUUUUAUCUCAAUGCUGAGUUAAUACGAGUGGUCAGUGAACUACUUUUUUCGGUUAUCUAAGAACCUAGCUUUUAUCGAUUGGUAUUGUUCCACAAUAGAAGAUUUGCUGCACGGUUCCAUUUCUUCGUCAUAUAGAGAAGACUUAAAGAGGCAAACAGGAACAGCCAUACGUCGAUGAGGUAGAGCUGAUAAAAAGGCAUGUCUAUGCUUUGAAGAUGCUUCGUUCCACCUUGAUGAAGGACGUGUUCUACCCAAUACGCAGCUACUUCUCUUGACGGCACUAACUGGUCGCGCAUCAAUCGGGAAAGUCGAGUUGCAUUACCUUUGUAACUGAUGUCAUUCCCUUUUCACAACACAGGUAUAUUUUUUAAUCAAUGAAUCUUCAAUGCGUACCUUGGCUCGUUCACCAUCCGCUGGAUCGAUUUGUAUAACAGAUCUUCCGUUAAAUCUUCCCAUUCGAGUUUCACGGCAUAACCCUCUUGGCUGGCUUUCGAAAGGAGACUUCAAAAACAACAAAGGCAGCCACACGAUACAUGGAGAAGAUAAAUGAUUUAAAUAUCGUAGCGAAGAAGCUAAGCAUCGUAAUUCCUUUCACGUUCAAACGCUAACUGGUUGUUAAUGAUGAAAAACACUCACGCGUUCUGGUCUCUUCCUAACGGUUACCUCCUGAAUUCCCAUUAUACCACCAUGUGCAAUGAACAACCGGGUAUUUUUAUGACCUAAUUUGUUUGUUUUUUUUUUUCCACCGAAAUAGUAGGUAAUUCGGAGAGAUUAUCCUUUUCCCACUUCCACACAAUUCUUUGGGGAAGACGAGAAAAUACCUGAACAAAUGUCUGGAAAAUGUGAGACGGCAUUGAAGAUACUCGAGAAUUCGAUCCAAGGUACAUUAAACAAACUUCUGGUAGCGGCUCGAUUGGCCUGACAUGCAUUGCUGGCACAGGAACAUACGUUGGCGGCAGUGAACGGGGCCAACUGGAUGCCGGAUGCAGCUUCCGUAUGCAGGCGUCAUGGUUGUGCGGAAAAAAUGGAAAAUGCCCAUCGUAUUAUCGAGCAUAUUGAAGCGCUUGAAGUCAUACCACUCAACGUCAACAAAUUCGAGCAACUCUUUUGCGAGGAUUUUACGGAUGUUUGGCCCUUGGGUUUUCACAGAAUGUGGCGUCACGACCGUUAAAUGGUGACCCUUCUGCGCCAAUGUUUCCACCAUGGGCAUCAUGGAAUUUAAGUGACUCCUGGGACCUAGCGGAGACAGAACUAGAAUCCGCGCCGCUGAACUCGGCGCUAAUUGGAAAAUGCAGAGCUGGUGCAACACAAUGUUUCCAAGACAGACAUUGAAUUAGAUGGAUAUAUCUAAUGGAUAAAUGGAGGUAAUUUUUUACGGAGCAAUGUUUCGAUGAACGAGUCGAAAAGCUCACUGUACUCCCAGUUUUACAACACGUUUGGAGGUAGCUACAAGACAUACUGACCCAAAACCAAAAAGCAAGUCAUGCUUCAGCAUUAGCGUAACCCUGAGGCAUCUUUUCCCCUUUCUUUUGAAGUGCGAGAAUUUAUCAUAACCUAGUUCCUCUCAAUAUUUUUAUCGCGAAUCGUAGCCUUUCAGGAAUCGCGUUAGCUGAACGUGAUUUUUUUACAAAUCAAUCUGAUUUCGUCCUCGUUAACCUUUUUCUGUAUGUCUACUCAAUUAAAAACGGGGUUUCUCCAAGAAAAAAUAAUUUAUUUUCAUCCAAUUGGAGAACUGUGAUGGAUCCAGAGCCCAGCGCUUUCAUGUGGAAGCGAAGUCCUUAAAAAAAGGUCAUUGGCAUGUCAAAUGGCGCCUGUCCCAACAUGAUAUGGGUCGCGCAGUGGCCUCAUUUUGAUAUAGGAGCAAGCGCGACUGUAAGUAAUCGUCUACUGAACUUUUAUCUUCGUUCUUCUGAACAUUCUGAAAAUGCAAACUACGAUGUUGUAGAUUAUCCAUAGCAGAAAAACGAGAACGGCCGUUAGAAGUAACCAAACAUCCAUGAGGAUAUGUUCCACCCAGUAUGCUGCAACUUCUCCAGGUGGAACUAACUCAUCUUGCAUCAGCUGCGACAGACGAGUGGCAUUACCCAGGGCAAACCGAGAAUUGGUACGCCGUGAUAUAUCGUUUCUUGAGUUCCAAGUAACCCGCCAUGCGAAAUGAAAAGACGAGCGUUCGGAUGGCCUAUCGCGUUGUUAGUUUUGGAGAUCUUGUUGUGGUAGCCAGUCAACCAUUUUGACGUUAUUGGAAAUUUCCUUUGCAUCUGAAGUGCCUGUUUCCCAUUUCCAGAAAACACGUUGAGGAACACGUGCAAAAACUUGAGUAAAGAUUUUCUUUACAUGUUCUGGCAUGGAAGAUACCAGGGCAUUGGAACCUAAGUGUUUUUGGAGGCCGAACGUGGAGCGCCCCAAUCGGGAUGAACGUCGGUGGAAGCGGACGAGGCCAUGCUGUGGCCAGGUGAUAACUAGCCAAACAGAUUUGGGCCUUUCUUUCAAAUUCCGCGAUAGGCAUAGCGUCGGGAAAGUCUGAACUGAUGAGAUCAUCUAAGAUUGGAAGGUGACAUAUCACUUUUGAAUCCAGAAGCCAAUGUUGGGACACUUGCGUACUCGCGUGGUACGUUAAAAGCCGCCAAACUCCAUGGUGGGGCUGUAGCUGCACUGUGGAAGAUGAAGGGUACACCGAGAUGUUCAAUCAACGGAAAGGUGUUUCCGUUUUCGGCUCGUGGGGCGUUACAACAGUUAUGUGAUGACCUCUUUUGGCUAAAACUUCCAUAAUUGGCAUAAAUGAAUACAUAUGACUCCUCGUCCCCAUCGGAGACAGCAUAAGAACUCGGGCACAAUGACCCAACAGUGCCCAUUGCGCAAGAAACGAUGGCGUAACGAAAGUGCGGCCCUAUUUUAUGACAUCCUGGGUUCAACGUGGUCUCCGCGAGUUGACUCGACCGUUCGGGUUUCCCAGCGGCACCCGAUUCUCGCAAUUUGAUUGGCUCUCUCGCUGUGACUGCAGUACACACCACCACUGAAACCAAGCUACAUCUCAGCUGUUGAAGUGUCGUCUGCGUCAAAUCGUCUGCUAGUGUCAAAUUUCAAAAUAGAUCCAAGAUUAUUCACAAAAUUACAACAAAAAAAUAGGAAAACUGAGUGGUAGUGUGCGUGCAAGAAAGGAAAAAGGAAGAAAUUUCACACGAAUUGAUCGGUUUUUUAAUAAUCAAAGAAGUUUGAUGUGUGACGUUAGAGCUGUAGCGUACUGGCGCGUUAGUAAUGGUUUCGAUUCGCACACACGCUAUGUUAAA